AUUUUUGACAUUAGCAUUCACGUAUAUAGUUACACGACUACACUUGAUUUGCGACUGAAUUUAAACCUUAUUCAGUGCCUCUUUCAAUCAGAUUCUGUUGUUUUAGCGCCACACACUUACACAAGAGGGCAUUAUGUCCAUUGUUGGGCAAAUAGAGACAAUGGGAAAAUCCUCUUGUUCGAGUCUCCGGUAUGCUAGCCGCUCUAUUCUGAGCCCUCUUUGUGGUCCAACCUUUUUAGCCACUUUCGUUUUAAUGUAAUCAAAUGAACGUGCCUCGCAUUAUUCUGUUGCCAAUAAAUUUCACCAGGCAAAUAGAUGAGGAUUGGAUACCAGUCCCCAAUGGUUGUUGGAUACUACUUUUCGGGGGGCUUGCCACCCACGGGAUUUUAUCGUCCUGCAUUGCGAAAUGGUAGUGAGAAUAAUAGUAAUGCAUACUGGUUUCGACCGGCGAAAUUACUAUCUUAAUUUUGAUUAAUAAAAUUAAGUUCCAUUCGAAAUAUCCAAAGAAAAUGUUAAAAGUUUAAAAGUCAUAUACUCCAAUCAUGCGAAGAUAAUUGCAAUUUGUAAUAAACCACGAAUUUCUAAUUAAAAACAUAUAAAAUUA